rnacentral:rRNA from 1 species
GAGAGUUUGAUCCUGGCUCAGGACGAACGCUGGCGGCGUGCUUAACACAUGCAAGUCGAGCGAUGAAAUCCCUUCGGGGAUGGAUUAGCGGCGGACGGGUGAGUAACACGUGGGCAACCUGCCUCAAAGUGGGGGAUAGCCUUCCGAAAGGGAGAUUAAUACCGCAUAACAUUAGUUUUUCACAUGAAUUACUAAUUAAAGGAGUAAUCCGCUUUGAGAUGGGCCCGCGGCGCAUUAGCUAGUUGGUGAGGUAACGGCUCACCAAGGCCACGAUGCGUAGCCGACCUGAGAGGGUGAUCGGCCACAUUGGAACUGAGACACGGUCCAGACUCCUACGGGAGGCAGCAGUGGGGAAUAUUGCACAAUGGGCGAAAGCCUGAUGCAGCAACGCCGCGUGAGUGAUGAAGGCCUUCGGGUUGUAAAGCUCUGUCUUUGGGGACGAUAAUGACGGUACCCAAGGAGGAAGCCACGGCUAACUACGUGCCAGCAGCCGCGGUAAUACGUAGGUGGCGAGCGUUGUCCGGAUUUACUGGGCGUAAAGGAUGCGUAGGCGGAUGUUUAAGUCAGAUGUGAAAAUCCCGAGCUUAACUUGGGGAACUGCAUUUUGAAACUGGGAUAUCUAGAGUGCGGGGAGAAGGAGAAUGGAAUUCCCUAGUGUAGCGGGUGAAAUGCGUAGAGAUUAGGAAGAAACACCCGUGGCGAAGGCAAUUCUCCUGGGACCGUAACUGGACGCUUAAGGGAUGAAAACCGUGGGGGU